CUUAGCAUGUAUAAGAGAGGCGAAUCCGUCCGGACUGUUUGGCUCAAGACACUACCCUUCAACCAGGAUACUCAGAUACAGUUUAGGCUACAGUUUCCAGAGCGGCACUGAUCUUUGCCUCUUGUGCGAUUAAAACGAAGAUGGUCUUUAUUGGUUUGACCACAAGAUACCCCAAAAGGAAUAUAUCUGCCCAUUUUUCUAUACACCUGAAGCAACGUAAAGACACAAUACUCUCCAUGGAGUUUUCAUCUAAAUGAUAGUGACCUAGCGGCUGAAUGUCAUCCUUUACUUUCCGUCUGAUCAUAUGGGACCACUGUCAGCUAAAUUGUGGGACCACCUCAGUGAGUGACCACACCUAGCUACAGCCUGAUGACCCGAUGACCCGAUGACCCGAAUCGUGCACCACCCACCUCCGUGAGUGACCACACGCAGGUACUGCCUGAUGACCCGAUGACCCGAUGACCUGAAUCGUGCACCACCCACCUCCGUGAGUGACCACACCUAGCUACUGCCUGAUGACCCGAUGACCCGAUGACCCGAAUCGUGCACCACCCACCUCCGUGAGUGACCACACGCAGGUACUGCCUGAUGACCCGAUGACCCGAUGACCCGAAUCGUGCACCACCCACCUCCCUGAGUGACCACACGCAGGUACUGCCUGAUGACCCGAUGACCCGAUGACCUGAAUCGUGCACCACCCACCUCCGUGAGUGACCACACCUAGCUACU